rnacentral:rRNA from 1 species
AUGGCCAUUUCUCUGCUGCCUUACACCGCCUCGGCUCUGCUUGCCAUCAUCAUCGCCGUCGCCAUCGCUGUUGCCCCUGCAGUUGUCCGGUCGGACCCAGAGCCUGGGCCCAGCAUUGAAGCCAUCAACGCCACAUGCGCGACUGCUUCGUACAAAUUUGAGUGCACCCAUCUGCUACUAAACAACCUGGAUGCCAGGACGCCUCAAGUGAAGGAUGUGAUCGCAAUGUCAGUCCAAGUCGUCGCCAAGAAGGCGGCGGAGGCGGCCGCAUUCGCCAAGGCCAUCAAGAAACCCUCCAAGUGCGUCACCGACUGCCUCGACGACCUCGCCGUACUAUCCAAGCACAUCAAGACGCUCCCGGCGACGCUCGAAACCGCCAACGACGCGGGCUUCUUUGAGCAAUUUGACAAAAAGAGGAAAUGUUACGGAGAUUGUUGCUCGGACAACUCCUCGGUCAAGGAAUGCAACGCACAGAGCCAAAUCGGUGGGGUGUUUGACGCUCUUCGUGUCACUGAUGACCUGUUGAUGAGGAGGGCGUAUUUUAGGAAGCAGCAGCUUGACAACAAAACAACAUCACCUAACUCUAACUGA